rnacentral:lncRNA from 1 species
CUCUUGAACUGAAUUUUAAUGUGCGUAUUGUUAUGCGUUUACUUUUCUACAUUGGCUAGAGGUAUAGGGGAGGGUUGAGAUCUCACAGACAUGUUUAACCCCGCCGCAUUUUUGCGCCUGUCCCAAAUCAGGAGCCUCUGGCCUUUGUUAGUCUUGUAUUAUUUUAAUUUUAGUUUCUUGUGUACAAUUUGGAAAUUAGUAUGGCGUUCAUUAUUACUGAACUAGUAUAUAUUUGUUUAAGGG